rnacentral:rRNA from 1 species
GUGGGGAAUUUUCCGCAAUGGGCGAAAGCCUGACGGAGCAAUGCCGCGUGAAGGAUGAAGGCCUAUGGGUUGUAAACUUCUUUUCUCAGAAAAGAAUUAUGACGGUAUCUGAGGAAUAAGCAUCGGCUAACUCUGUGCCAGCAGCCGCGGUAAGACAGAGGAUGCAAGCGUUAUCCGGAAUGAUUGGGCGUAAAGCGUCUGUAGGUUGUUUAAAAAGUAUUCUGUCAAAGAUUAGGGCUUAACCCUAGAUAGGCAGAAUAAACUUUUAAGCUAGAGUUUGGUAGAGGCAGAGGGAAUUCCCGGUGGAGCGGUGAAAUGCGUAGAUAUCGGGAGGAACACCAAAGGCGAAGGCACUCUGCUGGGCCAAUACUAACACUGAGAGACGAAAGCGAGGGGAGCAAAUGGGAUUAGAUACCCUAGUAGUCC